UUAAGUAAAUUGCAUUCACGAUUCAUGAAAUCACAACUGGAAGUAAUCAAUUCAUAUUGCAAAUAUGUUCAUGGCUUUGAAUUUCCCCCUAACUAAAACGAGUUUAGCUCCUUAUGUUCGCAAUUAAACAAAGACAAUUAAAUUUAAACAUUAAAACAAUGGAUAGAAUACACCUAGAAAUGCUCCAACAAUCCAACAUCUUGAAUGGAAAGCACGGCUCCAAGGGUCUUCUCUCCUUUCUCCUUGCAAAUUUGCGGCACAAUGGGAUGAAUGUGUAUGGGUGUAUAUGGCACGAAUUUGUAGUGAAUGGUGGUAGUGGGUGGUGAUCUGAAUGAAUGCUGCAGCAAUUAUAUUUAUAGGGAGAAAAGGCACGGCCUAGGUAGCAUUGGAAAAGGAUUGGCACUCCAAAACCCAAGUGGAAUGGGUUAAAACAAUCAGAAACCAAGGGAAAUUAGGAUGACACAUCAAAAACCAUCAGGAACAAGGAUAUAAGGUGCGGCACAACUAGGAAAAGGGGUUUUAGAAGGGGUUAGGGCGCCACUUUUGUAAGGAGAGGAGAUAAGGCUUCUAGAAUCUGAAAUAUGUAUUUUAAAUGCAUAAUUAUCCCUUAUAAAUGGCUGGAAUUAAGGCACAAACUGAUUUAGAUAAGAUAAGAUUGGAUAAUGCUAGAUUAGGAAAUGAUAAGAUAAGAUAAGGUUAGUUGGGAUAAGAUAAGGUUGGAUAAGGUUUUGGAUAAUGACUCUUUCUUUUGAGCUGAUUCCUUAUCUUCUUUGUCUUGGAUUUAUUUUCUUCAUCUUUUCAACACAUUCCUAGUCUCUUGAACUUCAAAUUUGUCCAUCCAUCUUGCUCCACUCAUAAGCUAUCCAUUUGAUGCCCAAAACUGCCUCAAAAUGCUCCAAAUUGCACUUUCUUACCAACUUUGUUAUUUGGACCUACAAACACAUGAAAAUAGCUUAAAACACUAUAAUAAACACAAACUAACUAUGAAAAUGCAAGAAAACAAGCUAACUAAGUCGCAUAAAUAUACUCCUAUCAGGUACAUGCCAAAUUGGCAAAAGAAUCCAGGGCAUGAAGAUGGUUUUGAUUGGGAGGCUUAAAUUGUGGUAGGUAUGAAGGCCUUUGACUGUGUUUAACCGAACAUGUUUCCUUUGAGGUUAACUGGGCUGGAAGACCAAUGAGCAUUAGAGUACUAAUUAAUGAGCUAAUUAUUGGUUGUCUCUUAACUAAAGUUGUGUAGCAGAUUGCAUCAUUCACAAUUUUGCAUGUCGAUGUUAUCAGACUGUAAGCAAUGGAGUUUAGUUAAUCUUCAACUUGACUGCUCUUGCUUCUAACUCUGUGCGUACCACACAACAAUUUUCAUUGUAUUUGACAAAAUGACAACCACACCAUUAGAAAAUUUGGCUGCUAAUUGAAGUUACCAAGGGGAUAAAGACAUGCAUGUACGUACUCUGCCAAUUUAGGGAUAAUGGCAUCAGGAUGGGUACUAGUGAGCGUGAUGUAUAUGAUAGUAGUAAUAUCGAACAAACACUGCAUGUGAUGGGUCAAUAUUUUAUUAUAUAUUUUACCCUAUUAUUAGUAUUAAUUUAUUGAUUAUUUUGGUAGAAUUUUGAUACUUUGCUUUAUAUUUUCAACAUAGGACAUUCGACUUCCUCUGGAGCAAAACGUGACCAAACGGACGAAUUUUAGAGUGAUUCAAAUUGGAGGACGUUCAUGUGUUCCUUAUCUUGUUCGUGUCAAAAUAUCAGAAAUUUCUACCAAGCGGUUAUUUUCUAGAGAUUAAAUGAAGGAGCAAUGCGCAUUGCUGGAAACGUUUCUGGGCCUAAACAGCUUUUUUGGGCCAGUUUUGGAGCUGAUUUGGGUCCAAAACGUGGCUGUGCAGAUUUUUGGGCGAAUUUACCAAGUUAAUUUAGGAUUAUGUUUCCUAUUUUAUUUCAAUUUAUUAGGUUUCCGAGUUUUAUUCUAAGACCUUUUAGGGUUUUAUUUUUAUUAGUAGAAAUAAGAUAUUUAGCCAUUAUGUUAAAAGGGGAGAACAGACGCAACAUUGGAGAGGGGAGAGAACGCAAUAUUUUGGCUUUAGAGAGCUUUGGAUUCAAGUUUAUUUUCAAGGUGUUUUCUAUCCAUGUUUUUAAUAAUAUUUUGUUUUAUGAUUGCUAGUAACUAGUUUUGUUUGCUAGGGCGAGGCCACGAGCCUUAGCAAGAAUAUGUAGUUUCUUUUCAAUUUACUUAUGAUAUUAUGCUUGCAAGUUUUGAAUUAUUAAUCACUGUGUUUUAAACCAUCUAAUUGUCUUGAUGAUUGGCCACCAUUAGGAUAUUUAGAAAAGUAAUUUGAUGCAAUUUUGGCGAAGAGCUGUCCCUGAAAUUGGCGCUGGCUUCUUGUGAUUAAUAUGUGUAACUUCUUAGGAUGGACGACACGUUUUAAGGGUUAUAUGGUUUUUGAAAAGGUUUUCACAAAACUUAAUGAGUCUUGCAUGUUCACAUUCGAUCUGGACGCCAUGAACGGGUUGCAUGUUAGAUAUUGAUAGGAGCAUAUUAUGCGACUUAGUGAGCUUGUUCUUGUACAUUUACGUUGUGUUUUCUUAGUUAAGUUAGUCUUUUAAGCCACUUUCAUGUGUUUUCAGGUUUUAAGGGCAAAGUAUGCAAAGAAGUGUAUUUUGGAGCCUUUUGGAGCAAAAUUGAGCUUGGAAUGAAUGGCACGUGUUUGGAGAAAACAACAACGAACGAAAUUGAAGAGUUAAAGAUAUGAGGAGUCCUAAUUGAAGAAGGAUUUCUAAUCAACGAAGGAGUCCUAAUUGAAGUAGGAUUCCUAGUCAAAGAAAGAGUCCUAAUUGAAGAUGGAUUCCUAGAAGAAUGAGGAUUCCUACUCAAACAAGGUUUCCUACUUGAAGUAGGAAUGUUAAGCCUAAAGUUUCCUAUUUUGCGUUGAUCUUUCCUAAACCUAAAUGGCCUUAAGUUCCAGUAACUUUGAAGGUUCCUAAGCAUUGGAAGACACAAAACAAGGGUUCUAGAACACCUAGGACCAUUUGCCGCACCUAUUCCUUUCUAGAAACCCUUUUCCUUGCCUUGCAAGGCUUUCUAGAAGCCAUAUCCAUAUCUGCCGCACUUCUUAUACCUUUUCCCCUUUGGAUUUUGAUUGUUUGGGCCCUAAUCCUUAUUUUCUGCUAAGUCCAAGUCCUAACCUGAUUUCCCUAGGGUUUUAUGUGCCUAUAUAUACUCAUAUUUCAUUCUUUGCCACACCACCACCUCCCAUAUUCACAAUUCAUGCCAGAAAUCAUUCUCCCAUCUCUGCCGCAGCCAUCCCUCACCAUUCUCCAUAAUUUAUGACCUAAAACACCCUUUGCCGCACCAUACACCUAUCCUAGCCUUAACCCCAUCCUUCUACACCAUUCAUAAUCCCCACAACCUGAUCCUAAACCUUGUGCCGCAACAAAGAGGAAGGAGGGAAGUUCGUAGACGUACUUGCUGUUCAGUUUGGAUCGCUGGAAUGUCUAGGUGUUUUCUUUCUUUUGUUUUCAAUGUCUAAAUUUGUUUAUCUUUGCUUUGUGAGUAUGACGAACUAAACCCCUUUUAGCUAGGGGGAAUUCGAAACCAUGUUCAAGCUUGCAAUAUGAUUUGAUUACUUUCAGUUGUGAAUUCAAUUUAUUUAUCCGUUUGAAUUAAAACUGAUUUGUGUGUGUUGGUUGAGAGUGCACGCUUAAUUUUCAUGCAUAAAUAUGAUGCUAGGAUAUGAGGGAGUUUCACCUAAUCGUUAUGAACUUAUAUUCACAAGUAGUGAAGGUUGUUAAUCACAAUCGCGUUAAGUAAAUUUUUGGCAUAAGUUUCAUGCAAUUCAUAGUUACAAGUGCUUCGUCAAUGCUUAUGAUUUUCAUAGAACUUAAUGAUUCUUGCUUGUAUCUCUAUUAUGCAAUUCAUGUAGGGAACUUGUGGGGAAUGCUUUGGGUUGUUGUAUGCAAUCAUCCAAUUCAAUGAAAUUAGGAAAAUCUGAGGGUUAAUUAGUGCAAUUCACGGUUAAUCUGGGGCGUUGAGAAUUCAUGGUUUAUUGAAAAGCAACUGGAAAUCGCUUUGUUUGCAAGUGUGUCAUGUGUGGAGAAGAACCUCCUAGCUAACCUAUCAUCCAUAGUUUUACCCAAAUUCGUGUAGAUUUCAUUAGUUCUUUAAUUUGCUUGUUUUGUUUUCAAAUUCGUCAAAACCAAACCCCCCUUUUACUUUAGAGUGUCUAAUUAGUUAGAAUAUGUUUUAGAUUGUGUUUUAAGUGUCUUGAGUCAAAGGAAAACCAAAAUUCAUCCAAAAUUGUGUUUAGAGUCCAAAUAUGCCCAAUUUAUGUUUUUAGGCAGAUUUGAGCUUUUUUAGCUUGUUUUGAGUUUGUUUUGAGUUCUUUGAGUCUAGUUUAGUGUUUUUAACUUUGUUUAUAUGUUUUUAAGUCAGGCUAGAGGUUAUUAGCAUGCCCUCCUAAUCCCCGGUCCAGAACGAUCUCUACCUACAUUCUUUACUACAAUUGAGACAAGAGGGUUUAAUUUGUGUGCUUAUAUAAUUCGCAUCAAAUUUUAGGCGCUGUUGCCGGGGAUUAGCAACUUUGCUAAUCCCCCGUUGUUUCUUUUUGUUUCUUUUUCAUGUCUUUUGUGUUAGUUACUGACUUUGUUUGUUUUCUUGUUUUAGGUACUAGUUUAUGACUCGGAGUUUUCAUCCGGUUCGUGAGCAUAUCUUGGACUUUGACGACGAUUUUGAGAAGACUUUGAGAAGGAAUAGGAAUUAGCAAGAUCAUAACCCAUUUAUUCCUGAACCUGAGUUUGAAGAACAUCCACUUGAAGAAGAAGAAGAGCCCACGACACAGGUUGUAGAGGAAGAUCCCAACAUGGCAGCGGAUAAUCGAACAAUCAAGGAGCUUUCCGCUUCGGAAUUGGACAAUGCCGCUCCCCUAUGCAUCCAAUACCCCAUGGCUACCCAAGGGAAGACGGAUGAGUUCGAAUUGAAAUCAAGUUUGUUGCAUCACAUUCCGAAGUUCCAUGGGCUGUCUAUGGAGGACCCUAACAAGCACUUGAAGGAAUUUGAAGUGGUUUGUUCGAGCAUGACCCCUGUCAAUGUUGAUGGUAGCAUCUUGAAGAUGAAGGCUUUUCCAUUCUCUUUAAUGGACAAAGCUAAAGAUUGGUUGUAUGAACUUGUACUUGGGACUGUUACAUCUUGGGAAAGUAUGAAACGAGCGUUCUUGGAGAAAUUUUUCCCUACUUCAAGAGUCAUUCUCUUGAGGAAACAAAUUAGUGGUAUCCAACAAAAUCAAGGUGAAUCAUUUCCAACUUAUUAUGAACGUUUUAAAACUCUUGUUGCUUCAUGUCCACAACACCAAAUGAAAGAAGAGUUGCUACUUCAAUACUUCUAUGAAGGCCUUCUACCAAUUGAACGUCAAAUGCUAUAUGCCUUGGCGGGAGGAGCUUUGAUGGACAAAACACCUAUGGUAGCCAAGUGGACAAAACACCUAUGGCAGCCAAGACACUAAUCGUAAAUCGUGCAUUGAAUGCACAACAAUACGAAGGCAUUAGGCAAAGGGACACCCCACGGCAGCAAGUGAAUGAGGUAAGUUCCACAUCCGAUAUUCAAUUUCAAUUAGCUAAUCUUACUUCCAUUGUGUCUUGGAUGGCUGAAGGAAUGAAGAUUCAAGGACCAAUGAUGUGUGGAGUGUGUUCUAUCCAAAGACAUGCCUCUGAAAAGUGCCCUCAACUAAUUGAGAAUGGUGGAUGGGAAAGCGCUAAUGCGAUUGGAUUUCAAGGACAAAAUCAGCCAAGAAACGAUCCAUAUUCCAAUACAUAUAAUCCCGGUUAGAGAGACCAUCCAAAUUUCAAGUGGAGGGAGCCUCAACAAACCCAACAACAAGGAGGCUUUAGGCAGCAACCCCCGGGCUUUUAUACUAAGCCAUACACACCUACUCAAGCCCCACAACAAUCUGCCUAAAACACUUCAGGUAAUUCUUUGGAUAAUGACACACUUCUUAAGUUACUCACCACUUUGUCUCAGGGGCAAGAAAAUCAAGCCAAAGCAAUGCAAAAUCAAGACAAAAGGGUGGACCAAAUGGAGAAGCAAAUUGGGUAGAUUGCGGAGUUUGUAGGACAAUUCAGAGAGCAAGGUAAGUUGCCUAGUUCAACCGUUGUCAACCCGAAUGGAGGAUUUGAAUCUGCCAAAGCCAUGAGUUUGUGGAGUGGAAAACAAGUUGGAUCUGAUCCCCAACCUUCCAGAUCACAUUCCAACGAGGUUGAAGAGUUGAUAAUGGAAGAGGAGGAGCAAGGCAUACCCACUGCAAGGGGAGAACCACCCUUGUCGCAGCCACCUAAACACUCCAAUUCGGCCAACAAGGGUAAGGAAGUUCCAAUUUUGGUUAAUCUAACGUUAUUCCUCCAAAUGUACCUUUUCCUCGUAGGUUUAUGCAAUCAAAGAAGGAGGAGCCUGAAAAGGACAUUUUGGAGACGUUUAGAAAAGUUCAAGUCAAUAUACCACUUUUGGAUGCAAUUAACCAAGUUCCGAGAUAUGCCAAGUUUUUAAAAGAACUCUGCACCACUAGGAAGAGAAUUUCGACCAAGGAGGUUGUAAAGGUAGGUGAAAAUGUCUCCGCCAUCUUGCAAUGCAAACUGCCCCCUAAAUGCAAAGAUCCGGGUAGUUUUACAAUUUCUUGUGUCAUUGGUAAUACUCGGUUUGAAUCUACCAUGUUAGAUUUAGGUGCAUCUAUAAAUGUCAUGCCAUAUUGAAUUUAUGCAUCUAUGAACUUAGGAGAGUUGACAAAUGAUGGUGUGAUUAUUCAAUUGGCCGAUCGAUCUAAUGCCUAUCCAAAGGGAGUUUUGGAAGAUGUUUUGGUGCAGGUCAAUCACUUAAUCUUUCCGACGGAUUUUUAUAUGCUUGAAAUGGAUGAAUCGAACCAUUCCCCUUCAUUGCCCAUCCUCUUGGGAAGACCAUUCAUGAAAACUGCCCGAACUAAAAUUGAUGUGUUUAAUGGAACUUUGACAAUGGAAUUUGAUGGGGAAGUUAUUAAUUUCAAUCUUUCUGAUUCUAUGAAGUAUCUUAGUGAGAAUCAUUCAUGUUUUGCUAUUGAUGUAAUUGAUUCUUUGGCGCAUGACCAUUUUGACAAAUUGAAUGACGAUGCACUUGAAUUGGUCAUUGCAUAGGGAAUGGACAUUCAAAACAUUGAAGCAGCAACCAUGCACACCCACGGCAUGCAUGAUCUUUCCCUUGCCGUGACCCCUAGUGAGGAUGUCAUUAAGAUGGUGGCUGCCCUUGAAUCAUUGCCACCACAAUCUGGUAAGUUUUUUGACCCAAUUUCAAAUUCAGUUUCAGCUAAUAAGUUACUUCCCCCAGUUGUGCAGCCACCUACACUUGAACUUAAGCCAUUGCCAAGCCAUUUAAAGUAUGUUGUCUUGGGAGAUGAUGAGACGUUGCUCGUCAUUAUCUCAAGCACAGUCACGACACAAGAGGAGAACAAGUUGGUGAGGGUGCUAAAGGAGUACAAAACGGCACUUGGGUGGACUUUGGCUGACAUAAAAGGAAUCAGUCCCACCACUUGCACGCACUACAUACUUUUGGAGGAGGGGUCUAAAACAUCUCGAGAGGCUCAACGCUGACUCAACCCUCCAAUGAUGGAAGUUGUGAAGAAGGAAAUAAUCAAGCUUUUAGAUUGUGGAGUGAUCUAUCCUAUUUCCGAUAGUCGUUGGGUUUCGCCCGUUCAAUGUGUUCCAAAGAAAUCGGAAGUAACUGUGGUGACAAAUGCCGAAAAUGAGCUUAUGCCUACUCGAAUCCAAACAAGUUGGAGGGUGUGUAUCAAUUAUAGGAAGCUCAACGCCACCACUAGGAAGGACCACUUCCCUUUGCCAUUCAUUGAUCAAAUGCUUGAAAGGUUAAUGGGUUAUGCUUUCUAUUGUUUUCUUGAUGGUUAUUUUGGUUAUAAUCAAAUUGUCAUAGCACCUGAGGACCAAGAAAAAACCACUUUUACAUGCCCCUUUGGUACAUUUGCUUAUCGUCGCAUGCCAUUUGGUUUAUGUAAUGCACCUGCCACAUUUCAAAGAUGCAUGAUGAGCAUAUUUUCUGAUUAUGUGUAGAAAAUUAUUGAAGUUUUUAUGGAUGAUUUCAGCGUUUUUGGUGAUUCAUUUGAUGGUUGUUUGCAUAAUCUCAGUUUGAUCUUAAAACAAUGUGUUGAAACUAACCUUGUUCUCAAUUGGGAAAAAUGUUACUUCAUGGUUAAACAAGGCAUAGUUUUAGGGUAUAUCAUCUUUGAAAAAGGAAUUGAGGUUGAUAAAUCAAAGAUCGAUCUUGUACGUCACUUACCCUCUCCUACUUCGGUUAGAGAGGUUCGUUCUUUUCUUGGACAUGCAUGUUUCUAUCAUAGGUUCAUCAAAUAUUUCUUAAAAGUUGCCCAACCUCUUUGCUGACUCUUACAAAAAGAUGUGACAUUCGACUUCAAUAGGGAAUCCACGACAUCAUUCAACCAACUCAAGGAGUUGUUGACCACGGCUCCAAUUAUAGUCCCACCUGAUUGGAGCCUUCCUUUCGAGCUAAUGUGUGAUGCAUUCGACUAUGCUUUAGGGGCUAUUUUAGGACAAAGGAAAGACAAGAGGCCGCAUGUGACUAUGCCUCACGGACGUUGAAUGAUGCCCAAUUAAACAAUUCCAUUACGGAAAAAGAACUUCUUGCCAUUGUCUUUGCUUUAGAUAAAUUUAGAUCAUAUUUAAUUGGUACUAAAGUAAUUGUUUUCACUGAUCAUGUAGCUCUAAAGUAUUUGCUCUCCAAGAAGGAAGCCAAGCCAAGGCUAAUUCAAUGGAUAUUGCUUCUUCAAGAGUUCGAUAUUGAGAUUCGAGACAAAAAGGGAAGUGAAAACGUGGUGGCUGACCACCUAAGCCGAAUGGUGCAUAAUGAAGAGUCCCUACCCAUUGCUGAAACAUUUCCUGAUGAACAAUUGUUGUCCAUUAAGGUAAGUGAGCCUUGGUAUGCCGAUUUGGUGAACUUUUUGGUGUCUAAACGAAUUCCAAGUACUUUCACUAGGCACCAACGUGAAAAGCUUAGAUGUGAUGCACGGUUUUAUGUAUGGGAUGAUCCCUAUUUAUAGAAAUUUUGCCUCGAUCAGAUUGUACGUCGAUGUGUGCAUGAUUCUGAAUUUCAUUCAAUUCUAAGCUUUUGUCAUACAUAUGCAUGUGGUGGGCACUUUGGUACACAAAGAAUAGCACUUAAGGUGUUACAAUGUGGGUUCUAUUGGCCUAGUAUCUUUAAGGAUGCUAGAACUUUUUGCUUAACAUGUGAUAAAUGCCAAAGAACAGGAAAUAUAAGUGCAAGGGAUCAAAUGCCGCAGGUUUCCAUCCUUAAUGUUGAAAUUUUUUAUGUUUGGGGUAUUGAUUUUAUGGGUCCUUUUCCUUCCUCGUAUGGUUUCAUGUAUAUUUUGCUUGCGGUUGAUUAUGUGUCAAAGUGGGUGGAAGCAAAAGCCACCCGAACUAAUGAUUCUAAAGUGGUUGCAGAUUUUAUUAGAACUAACAUAUUUGCAAGGUUUGGCAUGCCACGAGUAAUCAUAAGUGAUGGAGGAUCUCACUUUUGCAAUCGGACCAUUGAGGCGUUAUUGAGGAAGUACAAUGUCAACCAUAAGGUUUCUACACCUUACCAUCCUUAAACAAAUGGCCAAGCCGAGGUUUCGAAUCGAGAGAUCAAACAGAUUCUAGAGAUGACCGUUGGGCCGACAAGGAAGGCUUGGAGCUUACGCUUAGAUGAUGCACUGUGGGCAUAUCGUACGACAUACAAGACACCAAUUGGGAUGUCUCCAUUUCGGCUCAUUUAUGGCAAGCCAUGCCAUCUCCUCGUAGAAUUGGAGCACAAAGCUCAUUGGGCAGUCAAGAAGUUCAACAUGGACCUAGGUGCAGCAGGAAGUCAUAGGAAACUCCAAUUACAUGAACUUGAUGAGAUAAGGAAUGAGGCAUAUGAGAAUGCCCGCAUUUACAAAGAAAAGACCAAGGCUUUCCAUGACAAAAUGCUUCGUGGCAAAACAUUCUCCAUAGGGCAGAAAGUGCUAUUGUUCAAUUCCCGUUUACGUUUGUUUCCCGGUAAGUUACGUUCUAAGUGGAUUGGACCGUUUGUUAUUACUAAUGUUUUUGUUCAUGGUGCAGUCCAAAUCCAAAGCUUGAAAACGGGACACGAAUUCAAGGUGAAUGGGCACCGUUUGAAGCCCUAUUAUGAGAACUUUGAGGAGCAUGCCGUGGAUGACAUCUGCCUGCAUGCCGUGGGCUCCAAUGGGGAGUGAAUGUGUUCUUUGUCCGGCUGCAAGACGUUAAAGCAAGCGCUUCUUGGGAGGCAACCCAUGCAUUCAACAACGGGAGACCUAGGAAUCACUCCACUUCCAAAUUUGCGUUCCUUAACCCUUUUCUUUGUUGUUUAUAUUCUGCCAUGUUUAGUUUGCUUAGUUAGUUGUGUUAUUGUGUUUAUGUGAGUUUAUGCUUGAAACAUUGAGGACAAUGUUUGAUUUAAGUGUGGGGGGGGGGUAAAUAAGUGCUUUUGAUGCAAAUUCGUGGGAUUUUAUCACCCAUAACUUCCAAAGUUGUUCCUUGCUGUUUUAAGUGUUUUUAUGCUGUUUUGAUGCAUUUUAGUGUGUUUUGACAUAAAAAUCCGAAAAUCUCAUAAAAAUUUGAAACAUUGUUUUGAAAAACCCAAAAAGAGUUGUUUUUGAAUUGUUUUUGUGUGUUUGUUUGUGUCUUAGGGUACCUUUCAACACAAUGAUGAGGAUUCGGUUUCUAAGUGCAUGACUGUUAAAGAGAAUUAUAAACAUGGAUGAAAGCUUGAUUUACUCUUUGGUUUAUGCUUGGUUGUGGUUAUAACUUAUAAAUUCACAUGCAAUCAUAAAGGAAAAAAAUCAGUUUUUAUAAUAUGCUUGAAGGAAGGAACUCAAAUUAACGCUACAACCUAGUGAGACUUGAGCCUAAACGUUUAUUUGGAGAGUUAAUAAUCUGUGCAGUCUUGUUUUCUAAAAGUCGUUGCAUGAUCUCAUUAUUCUUUGCUUGGUUACUACUUAGAAGGUGUUUCAUCAUCUCGUUCCAAAUGCUAGAACUCAUGCCCAUUUCAUUCAAAGCAUGCUAUUGAUUUGCAUAAUACAUAUUCAAGAUGAAGUUGUGUAGUGACCACCACCAAAGCCAAAUUGCCGUGUAUCCUACUUCACUAUAUGUUUCAAUUUAACCCCGUUGAGCCUUGUGUAGCCUAUGUUCUUUGUUAACCCACACUAUCCUCACCUAGCCUAGAUUAGGACCAUCCAUACCCUUGUUCUUGAAGCAUAGUAAAGUAUGACUCAAUUGAAUUCCUUUUGAUCAAUGUCUUGCAGAAAUCAAGUGUGGGGGAAGUGAUUCUUGUGUGUGUGUUCGCCAAAGUCUUUAAUAAGACACGGGUAGAAAAGAAAAAGAAAAAAAAAAAUUCGUGAAGAAAAGAAUGAAAAAAAAAGAAGAAAAGUGUGAAAAGUAUGAAAACGAGUUGAAAAAGAUGUGAAAAUGAGCUCUAAAGUGUUGAUUGUUGAAGUAAGGGUCCAAAACAUUGAAUUCGGCCCUAAGUUUGCAUGAACCUUCCCUUUGUGUUUAAAAGUUGAUUUCUGCAUUCUAAAGUGAAUUCUAAGUUUCGAUUUCAUUACUUUGCUUGCUAUUGCUUCAAGAACGUUUGUUAUCCCUAUCCUUCCUUUGUUAGCCAUUACCCUUAGCCCCGUUACAACCCUUGACUUCAACCUUGAGUGUUGUGUGUUUCAAUUUGUGGAGUUUGAAAUUGGUAUGAGCAUAUGGUGUCACUGCUUCUCGCAUCUAAGUAGUAGCAUUCCAUUCAUGAGAUCAUAUCUAAACAUGCUUAUUAACUCCAGAAACUGUUUUCUUUGUUAUACAUAUAUGUGAGCGUUCGUUUUCAUGUCUACAUCAAUCUUCUCACAUAUAACUAGUAUAGGGUGUGUAGUCAGAAAAUAUGUGUGAAAAUUGAGUGCAUAUCUAGUAAGGAAUUGAGGGAAUUCUCUAAGGCAUGUUACUACAUUCAAAACAUCAUUUUAAUUGGUUAAAUGUGAACUAGUAAGUGGUGACUAUGAUUAAGUAUGUGCUCAAGUGUGAAGAUGACUAAAAUCUGUGGGGAUGAUGAUUUUUAACAUGUUAUGUGCAUUGGAAAUCCCUGAGGCAAACGUUGGAAGGUUUAUGUUGUGUUUUGUUUGUUUUGUUUCAUUUUGUUUGCUUGAGUUCGUUUUGUUUUGCUCGAGGACAAGCAAAAGCUAAGUGUGGGGGAAUUUGAUAGGAGCAUCUUUAUGCAACUUAGUGAGCUUGUUCUUGUACAUUUACGUUGUGUUUUCUUAGUUAAGUUAGUCUUUUAAGCCACUUUCAUGUGUUCUCAGGUUUUAAGGGCAAAGUAUGCAAAUAAGUGUAUUUUGGAGCCUUUUGGAGCAAAAUUGAGCUUAGAAUGAAUGGCACGUGUUUGGAGCAAAAGGAAUGGACGAAAUUGAAGAGUUGAAGAUGUGAGGAGUCUUAAUUGAAGAAGGAUUCCUAAUCAACGAAGGAGUCCUAAUUGAAGAAGGAUUCCUAGUCAAAGAAAGAGUCCUAAUUGAAGAUGGAUUCCUAGAAGAAUGAGGAUUCCUACUCAAACAAGGUUUCCUAGAAGAAGGAGGAUUCCUACUCAAACAAGGUUUCCUACUUGAAGUAGGAAAGUUAAGCCUAAAGUUUCCUAUUUUGGGUUGAUCUUUCCUAAACCUAAAUGGCCUUAAGUUCUAGCAACUUUGAAGGUUCCUAAGCAUUGGAAGACACAAAACAAAGGUUCUAGAACACCUAGGACCCUUUGCCGCACCUAUUCCCUUCUAGAAACCCUUUUCCUUGCCUUGCAAGGCUUUCUAGAAGCCAUAUCCAUAUCUGCCGCACUUCCUAUACCUUUUCCCCUUUGGAUUUUGAUUGUUUGGGCCCUAAUCCUUAUUUUCUGCUAAGUCCAAGUCCUAACCUGAUUUCCCUAGGGUUUUAUGUGCCUAUAUAUACUCAUAUUUCAUUCUUUGCCACACCACCACCUCCCAUAUUCACAAUUCACGGCAGAAAUCAUUCUCCCAUCUCUGCCGCAGCCAUCCCUCACCAUUCUCCAUAGUUUCUGACCUAAAACACCCCUUGCUGCACCAUACACCUAUCCUAGCCUUAACCCCAUCCUUCUACACCAUUCAUAAUCCCCAUAACCUGACCCUAAACCUUGUGCUGCAACAAAGAGGAAGGAGGGAAGUUCGUAGACGUACUUGCUGUUCAGUUUGGAUUGCUGGAGUGUCUAGGUGUUUUCUUUCUUUUGUUUUCAAUGUCUAAAUUUGUUUAUCUUUGCUUUGUGAGUAUGAGGAACUAAACCCCUUUUAGCUAGGGGGAAUUCGAAACCAUGUUCAUGCUUGCAAUAUGAUUUGAUUACUUUCAGUUAUGAUUCAUAAGUUGUGAAUUCAAUUUACUUAUCCGUUUGAAUUAAAACUGAUUUGUGUGUGUUGGUUGAGAGUGCACGCUUAAUUUUCAUGCAUAAAUAUGAUGCUAGGAUAUAAGGGAGUUUCACCUAAUCGUUAUGAACUUAUAUUCACAAGUAGUGAAGGUUGUUAAUCACAAUCACGUUAAGUAAAUUUUUGGCAUAAGUUUCAUGCAAUUCAUAGUUACAAGUGCUUCAUCAAUGCUUAUGAUUUUCAUAGAACUUAAUGAUUCUUGAUUGUAUCUCUAUUAUGCAAUUCAUGUAGGGAACUUGUGGGGAAUGCUUUGGGUUGUUGUAUGCAAUUAUCCAAUUCAAUGAAAUUAGGAAAAUCUGAGGGUUAAUUAGUGCAAUUCACGGUUAAUCUGGGGCGUUGAGAAUUCAUGGUUUAUUGAAAAGCAACUGGAAAUCGCUUUGUUUGCAAGUGUGUCAUGUGUGGAGAAGAACCUCCUAGCUAACCUAUCAUCCAUAGUUUUACCCAAAUUUGUGCAGAUUUCAUUAGUUCUUUAAUUUGCUUGUUUUGUUUUCAAAUUCGUCAAAACCAAACCCCCAUUUACUUUAGAGUGUCUAAUUAGUUAGAAUAUGUUUUAGAUUGUGUUUUUAAGUGUCUUGAGUCAAAGGAAAACCAAAAUUCGUCCAAAAUUGUGUUUAGAGUCCAAAUCUGCCCAGUUUGUGUUUUUAGGCAGAUUUGAGCGUUUUUAGCUUGUUUUGAGUCUUUUGAGUUUGUUUUGAGUUCUUUGAGUCUAGUUUAGUGUUUUUAACUUUGUUUAUAUGUUUUUAAGUCAGUCUAGAGGUUAUUAGCAAGCCAUCCUAAUCCUCGGUCCAGAACGAUCCCUACUUACAUUCUUUACUACAAUUGAGACAAGAGGGUUUAAUUUGUGUGCUUAUAUAAUUCGCAUCAGAUAUAUGUUUUAUGUUGGAGGUUCCAAGUAGGAUAUACUUUAGGAAAACCUAACCUUCAAAAUAUGCAUGUGUAAUCAUAAGUAAUUGGAAGAACUACAUAGGAUUGUUAAGGUGACGGCGGAACCCUAGUGCUCAAAUUUUAUUUUCAAAACUAUUUUCUUUUGUUUUAUUUAUUUUCCUAAUUUAUUUAAUUGUUUUUAAUUAAUUUUUUUUUUAAUAUUUUAGAUCAUAAAAUCAUCUUUUUCUAAACUUUGUUUUCAAAUAAUUAAUUAAGAUUUGAUUUUAACAUAAAUUAUUCAUUCAAUCCCUGUGGAGAUCGACCUUGCUUGAGCUGCUAUACUACGAUAACCUUGUACUCUUGCAAGUAUUGUAAAGUGUUUUUAUCCCUACUUUUGCAGGUGGUAAAAUCCCUAUAAAAAAAUUGGCGCCGUUGCCGGAGAUUGUUUUAAAUAAUUUGUGUUUAUCAACUCUUAGUUAAUUACUUUUGUAUAUAUCUUUUUAUUUACUUGAUUUUUUUUUAGGUUACAAUUUAUGCAACAAUGGAAUUUGUACCUCCUCCUGGAUUCAAUAUACAACCCGAAGGAUCGCCUUUAUGGGUUUUUUUUUUGCAAAACAGGGUUUCUAUGGAUUUAAACCUACAAUUUGUGCCCUUUGUUGUUCAAAGACCCAUGAAAUUUUACAAUGCCCUAGAAGGAAGUAUUUUCCAGACUAUGUGAAGAAGCAUAUUAAUAUGAGGAGCGAGUCACAUUGGCGUUGGAACGAUCCCACUUUUGAUUACUAUGCUCCGUAUUUGGGAAAGCAUCCUAGUUUUAGAUGGGCAGGCACUCAACAGCCUUUUGAGCAGCCUAAUAUGACACAAGAUUAAGAGGAAUGCUCUACAAUUUAAGCAUUAAACUAUGAGAAAAUAUAUGAUGAUCAAGAGGGAAUUGGUGCAGAAACGGAAGAGCCAUUCACGCUUAUGGGAGGAAACAACAUAUGCUGAUCCUGAAAUCCUCCCAGAACCUACGACAACCUAAGUUAGUGUGCUGUCAGAAUUUUCACCUCAAAGGCUGCAGUUGUGAACGAGAGCUGAUGCUUUGGAGGGGCAGACAACCACCAAUGAAAAUUUUCUGGUUGCUGAAUUAGACAUGCCAACAGCACAACCUAUCAAAUUUGAGGAAAGUCAAGAGGAGUCCUACAAGAAGGCUAAAAUCUCCAUGGAAAGGAAGAAAAAGUUCCGUGAGAGCCAAAUUCCUCAUAGAGAAAUUCAUCCAUUGCAAAAAUUGUGGGUUUUAAAUACAAGGUGGAAGUCAGCUCGACGGAAACAUAAUCCUCACUAGAAAGGAGUCUAUUUCAUUGCAAAGAUUCAUUCAAAUAGAAGGAUGUAUAAGAAGAAUUCAACCACUAAAUUUGGAAGCACCAUUGACAAAGAUCAAUUCACUCCGCAUCUAUUGUUGCUCUAUGACGUUAUUAAGAAGUGGUUGACUUUGAAAGAACAAGUGACAUGAUCACCAGUUUUCCGCUUUGUCUAGCUAUAGACUUUAACUAAAACGCUAAUUGAGAGGCAACCCAAUUUUUCUAAACUCUUUUCAUUUUCUAUUUUCGUUCAUUUUAUUUCCUUACUUUUAUUCUCUUAAAAAAAAUCAAAAAAUUGAAAAAAAAUACAAAAACAACAAUUUUGUUUAAUUAAUCAGUUUUAUUCGGAGUUUUAUUCUAAUUAAAUUUUUAAUGCGUGAUCUUUGUGUUGGAGUUUUAUUAGUUUAGCUUCACAUAGAUUACAAUAUUAAUAAGCAGAGUAUAAAUCAAACCUGAAGAAGCCGUUGCAACAGAGUUCGCAGAGGUAAGUCUUCUACUCAAUGGGGACCUUAUGCUCUCACUAGAUUAGGGCUAGUUUUACUGAAUAAGAACAUGUGUUUCCCCUUGAGCAAGGACUGAACCUUUAUAGACGUGUAAUCCCAAGCAUUUCCUCCUAUCACGGAAACAGUUCGAUUAAACCCCACGUCCAUUUCAUUUCCAAUGUGGGAUAUCCACUCUCUACCAUGUUUAUCCUUAUAGUCCUACUUUAAAUGAAAUAAUAUUUAUUCAUAUAUUAACUCUAACUGAUUUAGGCUUCCACUAAACUUAAACCCUGAUGUGAUAAGUUUAAAGUCCAAUAGGGUUCCAACACUUUGCACGUUGCAUUUGGAGGUGAUUCAGCCCAAAUUCCACUGCGUGGAAUCAACAUUCAUUCAACUGAAUCGUGCAUUCAGUAGCAUUCAUUCACCCAUCUCAGUACAUUCAUCAACAUUUCUCAAAGUGCAGAAAUUUAAAAGGGAAUGCAAACUGGAGGCUUCAGACCAUUCAACAAAUUUCUAAGUACACGGUUCUACAAUCGGGGAUCCAAAUGUGUAGAAGAGUCUACAUAUUGCAGAUCAAGUUUCAUGCAAAUUUUUGCUCGCAGAUUCAUCAAAUGGAGACAUGCAAAUUCACAGAACACCUACGUGAGUAUGACUUAUGCAACAGAAACAAGGUUAUUCAGAGAGAUGAUAUCAAAGAGAUGAAUGCAUGUUCACAGACAACAUCCACAGAUCAGCAUGAUUUUCAGAGACAUCACACAAUGCUUAAUUUUAACGUAGUACAGGGAUUUGAUUUACCUUCCAUUUUGUAGAUCUGAGCAGCCAUGUGUGCACAGAAGCUCCGCGUGUGCGCCUUUGCUCCUCGCAGUAACUAUUUUCCCCUUGCCUCACUCGGAUCCUGAAGUUUACAUAUAGAACACACACAUGUGUUCGUGGCAGGAAUUCGUCGGGGAUGCUUCCUAGCCGAAGAGCACACAGCUCCCCGAGAGGUCGGCGCCGGUUGAUGCUUUCUAUCGGGCUUCUGCUUUACUGGCGGGCUUGUUGGGCAAAGCCUGUCAGGCAAGGCUUAUCG
rnacentral:lncRNA from 1 species